UACAGAGGUCUCAAGCGUUGUUCGGAUUCAUUGGGCGUAAAGGGUGCGUAGGUGGCGCGCUAAGUCAGGUGUGAAAUUUCGGAGCUUAACUCCGAAACUGCAUUUGAUACUGGCGUGCUUGAGGACUGGAGAGGAGACUGGAAUUCACGGUGUAGCAGUGAAAUGCGUAGAUAUCGUGUGGAAGACCAGUGGCGAAGGCGGGUCUCUGGACAGUUCCUGACACUGAGGCACGAAGGCCAGGGGAGCAAACGGG
rnacentral:rRNA from 1 species